CCUGUUAUCCCAAAAAACCACUAUACCUCCAACAGCAUCCCUUGAGUCCAGAUCUCCCCACUCUUAAGCUGCAAACGAGACUCCUUGACAUUUCUUGGAUCUUAGUUUUCUAUAAGCAAACCAAAUCCACCUUAUUCUUUUUUAUCAAGGCUUUGAUCACCUUCCUCUUGUCAUUGUCAUUAGCCCCUCUUACAUUCUAGGAAAGCAUUCGAAUCUUCACCUAGAC
rnacentral:lncRNA from 1 species